GUCGACAAUACUUCAGAGAAUCAUUUCUAUAGUAUUCGACCUACUCUUGGUUCCCUAAAGGAGCUACAGAUCCCACCCUGGUUGAUGAUUGAUAUCCUCGACACCCUAGAGUGAAGUUUACUCUGGUUGCUCUCGCACUUUCCGCAAGGAAAGCGGUUCCUUCCCUCGGGAGGGAACUGUAUAGAGGGCGGUGAUGAUCUCGUCCCCGUUUGCGGUCUUGCCCUUGGGCGCGCGGACGGGGUGGGUGUCGAUGGACGUCUGACAGGC
rnacentral:snoRNA from 1 species